CGAUGCUGCAGAUGCUGGUCCACGGACCACACUGUAAAAGGCAAUAGAAUUCUCUGCGAUGACGCAAAUGUCCAUACAUCCGCACUGUCCACUAGGGCAGCCACUAGCCACAUGUGGCUAUUGAGGACUUGAAAUGUGGCUAGUGUGACUGAGGACUGAAUUUUAAAUUUUAUUUAAUUCUAAUUAAUUUAAGUUUAAAUAGCCACAAGGCUAGCUGCUACUCUCUAGGACAGCACAGCUUUAGGGAAGUGGUUCUCAAUCUUGGCUGCACACUGUUAUGGCCAGACGCACAUUUAAAAAUACUCAUGCCCAGGAGCCACUCCAGACUAAUUAAAUCUGAAUCACCGGGUUUGGGUCUUAGAGCACUGUUUUUUGUUUUUGUUUUUUGUUGUUGUUGUUUUUCUGCUUUAUUUCCCCAAAUCCCCCUGUACACGGUUGUAUAUCUUAGUUGCAGGUCCUUCUAGUUGUGGGAUAUGGGACGCCGCGUCAACAUGGCCUGAUGAGCGGUGCCAUGUCUGCGCCCAGGAUCCAAACCCUGGGCCGCUGCAGCGGAGCGUGUGAACUUAACCACUCGGCCACGGUGCCGGCCCCCGAGAGCACUGGUUUUUGUUGUUGUUUUUUUAAGCUCCCCCAGGUUAUUCCGAAGUGCAUCCAGAGUUGAGGAGCCUGCCUCAGAGUUUUCAGAGCCGUCACGGCCUGCCUUGGCUCAAUCCUUGCCACAGCCUGGAUGGCAGCUGCCACCAGCUUCCAUCUGCCUGUGAGGCCCCCUUUCUCAGGGCCUCACUAACUGCAACCUUCCCCAGGGAGGUGACCUGAUUAGACUCCUCAGCCUGCUUCAUCAUUGACCAAUAAAAGAAUGGGUCUCUCCCUACCAGACAGGAAGGAAAUCCAAGUUUGAGUGGAAGAGGGCACCUCGCCAUGGAACUCACCACUCCCAGGGUGGGGCCUCCCAAUGGACCGACCCGGUCUUUCCUGCGGCGCCUGCCCACAAGGGCACAGACUGAGGGGGUUGAGGGAGAGAAGUCAACAGUGACAAUAUGGGUGAUCCAGGAGGGUCUCCCAAAGAGUUUACAGCCUCUGCUGGGGGUCCUUGGGCAGGGUUGGGAUACCACUGGUGGGGCUCACAUGGGGAGGAUGGUUUUAGGUGAUUCAUGGGAAAACUUUUAAAAUGUUUAAUACCUAUGUAUUUAUUUUAAUGUACAUUAAGAAAAAUGUAGCUCGCUAAGCCUGUAAUUUCACAGGUAUUUCCAAUACAAAGUUCCUGGCAAAAUUAAUUUCAUUAAGCAGAAAAGGAGCACAUUUAAAGCAAAACGUUAAGGAGAUAAUAGUACCAGUGGGACUUGGAUAUAGCCAACAUAGUGAUGACAGCUGGGUGUCCCCCAAGGGUGCAGUGGGAGCGGGGGGACAGUGUCCUUUGUACGGAAGGUCAGAGGUGGAAGGGAAGGCUUUCAUGAAAACAUUUCAUGGAAAGACGUCAGCAGCACAUCUUUCAAUCAUAAAGAAUUACUGUUGCUGACAAGAAAUUCAUUGUCUUGGAAUAAUGGCCAGGAAUGAAAAUAGCACAGCCCCAGGCCCUCGUGGGCCUGCAGUGAGGUCCAGCUGAGGGAAGGGCCGAGCAGUUUCUCCAGCCCUUUCAAGCCCCAACAAGCCUGUGUGAGACCACACUCAGCCCAACACCUCAGUCCUGCUGAAGACACACCGAGACAACCGUAUUAGUGUAAGCCCAGUGUCUGAGGACGGGUCCUAAUGGAGUACAACCAGCUGGCCCAGCUGUCCAGGGACAGGAUUUCCUCAGUCUCACCAGCCCCUGCCUGGAGCCUGGGUGGAAUAAGCUCAGAGUGGUUACUGCCUAAAAGGACACACCCAGAUCUUUGGGGCCAACCCCACGUACACUCAUUCACAUCUGUACUUGUCAAUGGGACUCAGAGCUCCCUAGGGAACGGAUGAUUUGGGACCCUAGGAUGGGAAAGGAUGUGUGUUCAGUUUAAGGGGCUGACAGUCACACUCUGAGAAUGAAAAGGGAUUGGAUCUGGUUUUUAGGAAUGAAAGUCACCAUUUUUAAAAUAUGAUGGGGGGGAGGUAUGAAUAGGUGAGCACAGAGGUUUUCAGGGCAGUGAAAAUACUCUGUAUGAUACUGGAACAGUGGAUACAUGUCACUACUGGUUUGUCCAAGCCCAUAGAAUGCACAACACCAAGAGUGAAUCCAAGUGUGAACUAGGGACUCUGGGUGAUGAUGACGUGUCACUGUGGGUGCAUCAGUAGUAACAGAAGUGCCACUCUGGUGGGGGAUGUUGAUAGUGG
ensembl:lncRNA